GGUCUUGGUCGCGCUACGACGGGGGACAUUGCCCUCGAGGUCCAGCGGAGUGGCUUUGCACCAGGCAAAGUUGUCGGCAUCUAAAUCAUGGCUCGACCGUGCGCACGAUGUUGCACAUUGUUGACCGGCACGCUUCAGGUUCGCAGUUUUCACCUGGUGGCGGCACACCAUAGGUGCAGCAGACCCAUGCCGGCAAAGAG
rnacentral:rRNA from 1 species